UAAUGUUUUUUAGAUGAAGUAAAGCAUUUAUUCACUGUCCAGUUCAGUGAGUUGGGUACAAAUGUGAGGCUAAGAGAGGAACAGACAUGGGUCCAUUUUACAGAUUUUAUAGAUGAGUGUGAAGAGGGAAAUCUUAAAGUAGCAUUGAAGGACUUGCUAAGUUUUGUCACUGGAUCUUGCUUUGUACCUCCAGAAGGUUUUCCUGUAAACCCAUGUGUCAUCUUCAAUAAUCAAACUCUUUGUACUGCCACCACUUGUGACAUGACACUGAAGUUACCCCUGUACGAAAAGUAUGAUGACUUCAAGGAAGCAAUGACUAUGUCUGUAGUGGGAAAUGAUGGGCUUGGUGCUGGUCCUUAAUUCCAAAAUAAUUUCAUUUAUAUACUUCCCAUCAUUUUGUGACUCAAGUUCUUUUUGCAUUUAUCAUCUUUUUUAAACUGUGA